UGUUCUGUAAAUAUUCCUUGUUCAAUUCUUAGUUUCUAGAUUCUACUUUAGAGCUAUUAGAAAUUUCUUAGUCCUUCUCCAUUCAUUGUCUUUGGUUCCAUUGAUUUUUUUUUAGGAUUCUCUUUUGCUAAUUCCUUUCAUGUACCUUAAAUUUCAAUCUGUCUUAGUUUGGUCUAGGUUUCGUUUCCAGUAUUACUCAUUCUUUUUUGCCUUGUUUCAAUCCUUUUGUACAUAAUUGCUUAGUUGUAGGAGUAGUUUCCCUUGUGUUAGGUUCUGUUAGUUUUAAAAUUCUUUUUGCAAGCUGAAUAGCCUAGGUUAAUUUUUCUGUUUUACUGAAUUUCUCUGAAAGUUUGAGUUGCAUGCAUAGUUUAGGACAUCUAGCUUAAUUAGGAUGAGUUGAAGUAAGGUAGAAGAAAUUAGAAUUUUGAGAAACCAACUCUGGAGUCAACUUGACAGAUAUCCAGUGAGUCUUGAGCUUUAAUUCUUUGUAGUGUGUUUACACCUAGGUUAGUGACACUCUAGAACUUGUGCAUUUUCUCUUUGAUACAGCUGAACUGUGAUGGAUUUUUGAUGUGAUUCAGGCCUUCUUUUGUUUUAGCCUCCUAGCCAAAUAGCCCAUCCACCCAUUUGUUUUCCAUUGCAUCCUCAUUUUGAGCUUCUAGCCUUUUCUUUGUGUGUUAGCUCACGUUACAAGCCCAUUUUAACCUGAAAAACCAAAAAGAUAACCAAUUAGGAAGAUGUGGGAAGUUGUUUUAAUAGGGAAGUCUGAGAACUGUAGGGCAUUUGGCUCUUUUUACAUCAUUAUUUUUGAUAGAAGAACAAUGUUUGCAGAGGAAAAGGUUUGGAGUAGGAGGAUGCUUUAUCUUUCUAGAAGCCAAACAUAGCAUAAUUCAUAAACUUGAAAAUCUCUUCAACUAAGUGAAAUUUGGCUGUCUCUUUUCAUGUCCAAUAAUAAAAUAUAUGCAACUAGCCUGUACUAAUUACUAUUAGUAUUAUAAUUGUGUAAAUAUGACUGACUAAGACCAUUUUAUCCCACCAAAGAGGUAAUGGCUUGAACAAUCUAGUGUCCCUCUCCAGUCAUAGUCCAUAGGUUAAAUAAUAGCUUAUGUUCUAAAAAGUGACCUACACCUAAAAAAUUCCAAAAACUUGUAUACUAGAAAAAUUCACAAAUCUAUUAGAAAUAUUUUAGAGCCCUCGUUACUUAGAUGCCCUUUGGAAAGAUAGUGAACACCUAGCAGCCAUGAUUGGCAAUGUAUCUUGUGUUGAUAACUUGGAUUUUAUCAUGGAAAGUGAUGCUCUUGGACAUAAAGUUAUGGAACAGAGACAAGGGCAUGAAAGUUUACUUGGUGUUGCUGGGACAGUUACCCUUGAGGAGAGUUUGAAUCCACCAUUCACUUCGGUUGAAUUGGAUCACAGUGAUUCUUGAAGGGAAGGAUGCAUUGUAACCACUCUAACCAUAACCGCAGAACCAAAGAAUUGGCAUAUUACAAUUAGAAUUUCUGUUCAAGAGUUGCAUAAAGCCCUAGGAUAAUUGGGCCUGGCCUUGGUCAAAAGGAAGCAUACUGGGUGAAAAAGUCAACAGAAAAAUACAUUGGGCCGUGGGGCUGGAUAUAUUGAGAAAUACAAUGUAUUCGUCAACGGAAACACUGGGAAGAUUCAAUUGCAAAAAAGAAUUACGAAACCAACCGAGUUCUGAAACCAAAGGAGACCGAUGAUCGGGAACAUGAUUUUAUAAGGGGUCGUUUUUCUGGUUUUGGGAAAGAUUCUGCUAUAGUUGGUUGGAUGGUAAGUAAAUUACAUGUUUGCCAUGGUGUGUAAGUUAAAUAAUACGAUAAAUAAAGAUAUACUUAUGUCAUCUUUCUGUUCAUGGCAAUUACUAUCUUUUUGUGGCUAAUUUAAAGAUACACUAAUGCCUGUUUGCUUUGGUCCUUAACAUUUAGAAGCUUUAACUACUGGAACCGCACAUGUGCCAUAUCUCUUUGGUACUCCUGCUGAUUGUAUUUGGCCAGUCUUGCUUCUCCUCAAUCCGUAUAAUUCCAUCUCUUAUGCUUCCAAUCUUAUCAAAUGAUUUUUAAAUAUUGGUUCGUUUUUGAUACACCUUUUCCUUGAUGUUUGGUCACCACCACAUAGUUAUUUUCUUCACCACAAACCAAAUAAACUUGUAAAGUCAAUGCUAAGCAAGUGCCUUUUUAGUGUGUUUUUUUUCUUUUUUGUUAUCUCUCCUAAUCAUUUAUUGCUUCUUUCAGAUAUCCUUUUCUAAGCACUUUUAUGGAUAUGUGACAAAAUCAUAUUAUGUGAUACUACGACAUGGUUUCAUUAUGGUAAAGCUCUAGUGUGCCAUAUUUGUUGUCAAAUUAGUAAUAGCAAUGUCUUAGCUAGCUAUUGCCAAUGGCUUCGAUGCCUAAGUCAUAAAAUUUAUCUUUUCAUGUUUUUUAGAACCACUGCAAGUCAAAUCCAAAGUUUAAUUUUCACAAAUACAUGAUUUGCCCCCUUAAAGAUGAUUUCAAGCAAGUUUUUGGUAUAAGGUAAAUUCUUCUAUAUUGUUGCUUCUAUGCGUGUAUGACAAUUGUAGACCAUUUAAUUGCCAAUAAAACUUUACUGCCAUUUGUUUCAUUGUGUACAGUCAUUAUUUCUUUUGUAUUAACAAUUACAUUUUGUUGGUAUAAGGUAAGUUCUUCUAUAUCAUUGUCUUUAUGCGUGUAUGGCAAUUAUAAACUGUUUAAUUGCCAAUAAAACUUUAGUGCCAUUUGUGUCAUUGUGUAUAAUCAUUACUCCUUUUGUAUUAACAAUUCCAUUCAUAGAUGUAUAUUUAUUGGAAAAGUUUCUAUUUGUUGCCCAAUGUUUUCAGCAUAAUGUGGUCAUAAACCUGCUUUCCUAGACCUGGUUUCCUAAACCUCCUGUGCCCUUAGUUGACUUUGAAUUAAAACUUGUAAUAACUCAUUUUGUCUACAAUGCUUCUGGCUUACCUUUUUACCAUAGCAUAAACAGUUUUGUUGUAAAGGGUAUUCACUCUUUUGAGCUAGUUUUCAUUCCAAUUUGUCUAUUUUAUGUUGUUGACCUUUGUUUUAUUUUGUGAACAGUCCAGAACAUUCCAAUGCAAGGAAGGGGAAGGGUUUUAUCAUAUAUUUUGUCAGCUAUGUGCUGGAGCACCCUAAUCUAUUAGCGAUAAGUGAAUUACUUUUGCUUUUGUAUCUGCUAAUAUGGGUUAUUGUUGCAAUUCUUAUUUGAGGGUGGUCUUGAAGAAUGUGGAAUUUCUCUCUAAAUAGUAGCUUUGAUGUUUUAUUUAUAACUUAGAAAUCCUAAAUCAAUAUGUGCAAAAGAACAAAAAUAUAUGAGGGUAUUCAGUAUCCAUUAAUUGCUAGUGAAUAACAGAGGCUAUUCAGUAUACUUGAGGGUUGUGCGUGAGUUUUGAAGUGUGUUUUUCAUAGGUUCUUGAUUAAGAACCUAUCAGCAAUUGUUAUUCAAUUAGUGGCAUGUUUGUGUUUUAUUUAUUUAUUUAUUUGAAGAACAUAAAUAUGUGAGGCAAAACAAUUGUUAUUCUAUUAGUGACAUGUUUGUCUUUUAUUUAUUUAUUUUAAAAUUUGCAUAAAGCAUGUAUCCUAGUUUUAACUCUUUAAAUUUACCUCUUUUUCUAGUCUUACAAGUUUAUUUUAGUGCAUUUUAGCUUCUUAUUAUCUAGAAAUAGGAUAGUUUAUAGAUUUUUCUUUAAUUUUAGAUUUUUGUAAAAAUAGUAUUAAUUUUGUGUUUUUUGUAUAGAAAUAGUAUUAAUUCUAUAGAAAUUUUUGUUGUGCAUCAUACAAACACACCUACUGUUGGGUGUUCUGAUUUUCAUGCAUUAAUUUCUGAUGAUUUGAUUGAUGAUUUGUUGGGUGAAUCUGAUUUCACUUUUGAAAGUUUUGUAUUAUUUAAUGAUUCACACAUGCAUGCUGCUUUAGAGUUUGAGUGUAUUAAAUUUCUAGGAAUUCUCUGGGAUUACGAACCUUUGGUGAUGGCUGUUGUGAGAUAGAGCAAUGGACGUGAUGAUAAGUUUCAGCCAGUGGGUGUCUAGUUUUUCUGGGUGAACAUCCAAGAACCUAUCUUGGAAAUCUUUAUGGUUUUAAAUAAAUCUGGGUGUCUAUCAAAGUUAACAAUAUUGACAUGAAGAAACAUAAUUGGAAGAUCUGCGUUCCAGUUUUAGAGGGUUUAAAGCCAUUAUGGUUGAUGGAAAACCUGUUAGAUACCAUCUGAAGAGACUAGGGAUUGAGGCCAAAGCUGCAAAUAGCAUCAAUAAGGCUGUUUCUUUGUGGGAAAAAUGGUCUCCUUGACCUCAGGUUAAUAUUUUAGUUUCUCUUAUAGUUGUCAAUUAUGAAGGAACUGAAUGUGAUAAAAAACAGCAGUAUCAACAUUUUAGUAAUUCUCAUUAGCUUUAUAGCA